ensembl:lncRNA
CUUUUUCUCCCCAAUUUCGUGGUAUCCAAUUGUUUAGUAGCUACUAUCUUGUCUCAUCACUACAACUCCCGUACGGGCUCGGUUGAAAGGUUGAAAGUCAUGCGUCCUCCGAUACACAACCCAACCAAGCCACACUGCUUCUUAUCACAGUGCCAUCCAACCCGGAAGCCAGCCGCACCAAUGUGUCGGAGGAAACACAGUGCACCUGGCAACCUUGGUUAGCGCGCACUGCGCCCAGCCCGCCACAGGAGUCGCUGGUGCACGUUGAGACAAGGAUUUCCCUACCGGCCAAACCCUCCCUAACCCGGGCGAAUCUAGGCAAAUUGUGCAUCGCCACAUGGACCUCCCGGUCGCGGCCGGUUAUGACAGAGCCUGGGCGCAAACCCAGAGUCUUUGGUGGCACAGCUGACAGCAUAUACUUUGUACUACUUUCUUAGCUACAGUAUACAUAUCUCCCUGGCAUAUUAUAUAAUUUAUGCAGCAGCAUACAAUACAUUUUUGGACUCACGUUGUUGUGCUCUGCUCACUUGAACAGGAAGGUGGCGCAACGUUCCCUCGUGGGCAUAUUGUGUCAUAAAACUUUGUCAUCAAAGUCUGGCAUCAUUUGGAUUUCUGGUUCUUUCCAGACAACUGGGAUGAGCACCGAUAUGUUUUAUCUGCAAUUUCUCUUCAUAAUUUCUCUUCAUAUGACCAGGAUGGAAAAGGAUUUGCCAGUAGAUUGUCGAAUUUAUUCAUGAUGAUGACUGCUAGCUUGCUAGCUAAGAUUUUGAAGGUAUGAUGUUGACAUGAUCAGUCCAAUCAAAGCUAUGGUAGAUAUAACGUGAUUUGACGUAAUUUUAUCUGAAGCCAAUGACCUUGAGCCUUCUUGGGCGGGCACUUCUAAUGUAAAUCUAUGGAAGCACCCAAGGGGCUAGAAUUUUCAAGCUCUACCCGUAGAUUUUGCAGUGACGCAGUGUCUCCAUGAGUGACAGAACACUGAGUCAAUCACGACGUAACUAGAGAACAUUACCAACCCUGACGUUCCGUAUUUUCCGCUGGCUGCCCCAGCACCACAGAAAGUACUGAGCUAGGCCGAAACACCUGCCUUUUGGAGCUGCCUUACUCAAGAAAGCGAAAAAGAGAUCAUGAUUGUAUGCGGCUUUGUUAAGUUAAUGAUUUUUUUUUACACUGUUUGCAAACUAGUAUGUGACAUAUUAAUGCCAAAGUAACAUGCAAGAUAGGCAACAACAAAAAACAGGUAGGGUUCAUAACAGGUGGCACACUGGGUCGCAAGUGCAUAUCAUACUAAUUUUCAGUGGUGUAAAAAGUACACAAUUGUAAUACUUGAGUUAAAGUAAAUACACCUUAACAGAAAAUGACUCAAGUUAAAGUGAAAGUUACCCAGUAAAACACUAAUUUGUUACGGUUGUCAUCGGAGUGUGGUAUGCGUACAUUUUGAAUUUAUUAAGUGAACAACACAAAAAAACAAGAUAAACUACACGUAAAGUAAUGUAGCGCUAAACCAGCAACUAACAAAAACAAGAUCCCACAACGGAAAGUGGGAAAUAGGGCUGCCUAAGUAUGAUUCCCAAUCAGAGACAACAAUAGAUAGCUAGCUGCCUCUGAUUGGGAACCAUACUCGCCAAAAACAAAGAAAUAGACAACAUAGAAUGUCCACCCCAAGUCACACCCUGACCUAACCAAAUACAGAAAUAAAAUGGCUCUCUAAGGUCAGGGCGUGACAGUACCACCCCCCCCAAAGGUGCGGACUCCCGGCCGCAAACCUGAACCUAUAGGGUAGGGACCGGGUGGGCAUCUACCCUCGGUGGCGGCUCCGGGUCUGGAUGUAGCCCCCGCUCCCUACGCUGAUCCCUCCGCUUCUGUGGAACCGGACCGUGAAUUGUUGCCGGAGGAACCGGACCGUGGAUCAUCGCCGGAGGCUCUGAACUGGGAACCACCGAUGGAGGCUCCGGACUGGGGACCGUCGCUGGAGGCUCCGGACUGGGGACCGUCGCUGGAGGCUCCGGACUGGGGACUGUCGCUGGAGGCUCCGCACUGGGGACCGCCGCUGGAGGCUCCGGACUGGGGACCGUCGCUGGAGGCUCCUUGCCAUGGAUCGUCACUACAGGCUCCGGGCCAUGGAUCAUCACUGGAGGCUUCGUGCCAUGGAUCAUCACUGGAGGCUUCAUGCCAUGGAUCAUCACUGGAGGCUCCGGGCCAUGGAUUAUCACUAGAGGCUCCAGGCCAUGGAUUAUCACUGGAGGCUUCGUGCCAUGGAUCCUCACUGGAGGCUUCGUUCCAUUGAUUAUCACUGGAGGCUUCAUACGUGGAGCCGGAACAGGUCUCACCGGACUGAGGAGACGUACUGGCAGCCUAGUGAGUGGAGCUGCCACAACACGUCCUGGCUGGAUACCCACUCUAGCUCAGUGAGUGUGGAGAGCUGGCACCGGACACACUGGGCUAUGAUGGCGCACUGGAGGCAUAGUGCGUAGAGCCAGUGCAGGACACACUGGACCGUGGAGACGCACCAGAGGUUUGGAGCGCAGAGCUGGCACAACUCGUCCUGGCUGGAUACCCCAGUAGCCCAGCAAGUGCGGGGAGCUGGAACAGGCCGCACUGGGUUGUGCUGGCGAACUGGGGAUACCGUGCGUAGAGCUGGCGCAGGAUAACCUGGGCCGAAGAGACACACCGGAGGCCAGGAACGCUGAGCCGGCACAAUCACUCCUGGCUGAAUGCCCACUCUAGCACGGCAACUGCGGGGAGCUUGCAGAGAGCGCACCGGGCUGUGGCUGCGCACCGAAGGCAUGGUGUGCAGAACCGGAUAACACGGUGCUUGACCAGUCACUCGCUCCCCAUGGUAAACACGGGGAGUUGGCUCAGGUCUGAACCCUGACUCCGCCAAUCUCCCGGUGUGCAUCCCCCCCCAAAAGAAAUGUUUUGGGGCUGCCUCUCGUGUUUGCUUCGUUGAGCCAACUCCUCGCAACGUCGCCGUUCCGCUUUAGCUGCCUCCUUCUCCUCCUUCAGAAGGCGAUCUUCUCCAGCCUGCGCCCAGGGUCCUUUCCCAUCUAAGAUCUCCUCCCAGGUCUAUUCUUCCUGACCACGCCGCUUGGGUCCUUUGGUGGUGGGAUCUUCUGUUACGGCUGUCAUCGGAAUGAGACCAAGGAAUUUGGCAGUCUGUCCAACCGGCCUCACAACCGCAGAUCAUGUGUAUGGCGUCAUGUGAGUGAGCAGUUGCCUGAUGUCAACGUUGUGAACACAAUGCCCCACAUCCGGCUUCUUCACCUGCAGAAUUGUCUGAGACCAGCUAUCCGGACAGCUGAGGAAACUGUUGGUUUGCACAACCGAAGAAUUUGCACAAACUGUCAGAAACCGUCUCGGGGAAGCUCAUCUGCAUGCUCGUGCUCCUCACCAGGGUCUUAAACCUGAAUGCAGUUCGGCAUUGUAACCCACUUCAGUGGAAGAAUGCUCACUUUUGAUGGCCACUGGCAAGCUGGAGAAGUGUGCUCUUCCUGGAUGAAUCCCGGUUUUAACUGUACCAGGCAGAUGGCAGAGAGCGUGUAUGGUGUUGUGUGGGCGAACGGUUUGCUGAUCUCAACAUUGUGAACAGUGUGCCCCAUGGUGGAGGGGUUAUAGUAUGGGCAGGCAUAAGCUAUGGACAACGAACACAAUUGCAUGUUAUUGAUUGUAAUUUUAAUACACAGAGAUCCCGUGACGAGAUCCUGAAGUCCAUUGUCACGCCAUUCAUCCGCUGCCAUCACCUCAUGUUUCAGUAUGAUAAUGCAAGUCCCCAAUGUCGCAAGGAUCUGUACACAAUUCCGGGAAGCGGAAAAUGUCCCAGUUAGUCCAUGGCCUGCAUACUCACCAGACCUGUCACCCAUUGAGCCUGUUUGGAAUGCUGUGGAUUGACAUGUACUACAGCGUGCUCCAGUUCUCGCCAAUAUCCAGAAACUUUGCACAGCCAUUGAAGACAAGUGGGACAUUCCACAGGCGGCAAUCAACAGCCUGAUAAACUCUAUGUGGAGGAGAUGUGUCGUGUCGUGCUGCAUAAGGCAAAUUGUGGUCACACCAGACACGGACUGUUUUUCUGAUCCAUGCCCCUACUUUUUAAAAUUUUAUCUGUGACCAACAGAUGCAUUUCUGUAUUCCCAGUCAUGUGAACUCUAUAGAUUAGGGCCUACUGAAUUUAUUUCAAUUGACUGAUUUCCUUAUAUGAACUGUAACUCAGUUAAAUCUUUGAAAUUGUUGCAUGUUUCAUUUAUAUUUUUGUUCAGUGUAUAAUACAAAUAUACAUAAUAGUCUACAGAUUUGUAUUUCUCUUGUUGAGAAAAUUGCAUUCUGUAAAAUAGACUGAAUAAAUCAUAAAUCAUUUAAUUAAGGCUACAGCGAGCUCUUUGCAUCUUCGGGAUCGAUGUCCCGUCCACGGGAUUGUUGAGCUAACGUAGGCUAAUGCAAUUAGCAUGAGGUUGUAAGUAACAAGACAAUUUCCCAGGACAUAGACAUAUCUGAUAUUGGCA